rnacentral:rRNA from 1 species
GACGAACGCUGGCGGCGUGCUUAACACAUGCCAGUCGAACGGAAAGGCCAUGCUUUUGUGGGGUGCUCGAGUGGCGAACGGGUGAGUAACACGUGAGUAACCUGCCCUUGACUUUGGGGUAACUUCUGGAAACUGGGGCUAAUACCGGAUAGGAGCUCCUGAUGCAUGGUGGGGGUUGGAAAGUUUCGGCGGUUGGGGAUGGACUCGCGGCUUAUCCGCUUGUUGGUGGAGUAGUGGCAUACAAAGGCUUUGACGGGUAGCCGGCCUGAGAGGGUGAACGGCCACAUUGCGACUGCGGUACGGCCCAGACGCCUACCGGAGGCAACAGUGGAGAGUAUUGCACAAUGGGCGGAAGCCUGUUGCAGCGACGCCGCGUGCGUGAUGACGGCCUUCGGGUUGUAAACCUCUUUCGCCUGUGACGAAGCGUGAGUGACGGUAAUGGGUAAAGAAGCACCGGCUAACUACGUG